CCUCACGCCCCCAUUGCCCACCCCCCUCCCCCCGCUGCUACUUACAGUCAGGCAGGGGGCGAGUGGAGGCGGCGCGCGCUGUGGAUUGUGGGUGGCGAGCGGCUGAUUUGGUUUCCCGCUCACGGCCACCGUCAGUGGCUCGCGAAAUCUUCUGAAGCGGCGGCUCGCUGGGCCUCCUCUACGUCGACUCAGCCUGAAGGAUGGAUGCCGCCGCGUGCAGGAGUUGGGCGAGGCGGGAGUGAGCCACCUGAAGCGCCCUCUCCGACGGUGGUGAGCCGCCGGGCGGCCGGGCAGUGAGCAGCUCGGCCGGCGUCGCUUCUCCUCCCCCUUCCGGGGCUGCCAACCCCGGUGGUGUUGAGUCGUCCUCCUCUUCCACUGGAGCCCUGACAUUAAUCAACGACGUCGCUAGGAGUAUCGUGGUGCCGCUCUGCAAACCUUCGGGCUACUAUCAAAGGUUUGUUCAUCAAGCCAUCCAGAUAUAUAAACACAGACAUAACUUCAACCGAGAAGAUGGAUACAAAUUGAGUAAUCAUUGGAAGAAUGUUAUUAACCAGGUAAAACCUUAACUGCUUUAUGGUGUUGCCUUAACUUUCCGCAUCUCUAAUUUCUUAAGCUUCCCACUCCCAGCCCCGCUCUCUUCAGCACUCCCUCCUCAUACCCCCCCCCUCUCUAUCUCUCCUCCCUGAUCCUCCCCCCUUCUCUUACCUAUAUAGUCUCUUGUUUACAGCAGCUCUUUUGCCCACGUCGGCAAUUGUUUCUUGCUGUGGUUUGUCCCACCUGAUGAUGGACGCUUGUGUUGUGCCCGAAACGUCGUGAUUUAAUUUAUUUUAUAUUUUAUGCCU